rnacentral:misc_RNA from 1 species
AGAAUUGCCAGACAAGGGAUCAAACCUGCUGCCUGUGAUACACAAACUAUUGCCACAAAAACUUUUGUUACAGUCCCUCGUAGGUUGUGAACAGAUAUUUAUGACUCUAUUGUUACUAUUUUACAUUUUAUUGUUCAUAACUUUUUAUAUAUAGCAUCUCAGUUAUUCUUCUGGUUCAAUUUCUCUCAUAGACUUGUUGACUUCAAAGACCAAUGAAUUUCUCUCGGUGCAAUCCAUAAUGAAUUGGUAUAUGUAUUUUAUGACCAAUUUCAGGGCACAGUUCAUAAAACAAUAUAUUUAAUGUUCAAAUGUAAUACAUGUAUCUCAUUUGUUGAUUUUUAGCUUCCUUUUGUAAAUUUUAUCCAAUUGUAUUCAUAACAUGUACCUAAAUGUAUGACAUCAUUUACUAUACAUGUAGUCUAUGUUUAAUGAAUUAUUUUAUGAAUACAUGUAUAGAAUAAACAAUAUAUGAUGCAGAGCUGACAUCUUCACAGGCAUAUGACUAUUGCAUGAGAAGCUUGUGUUAGAAGUCAAGUUGCGGAACGUAUUAUUUUACUCUUUAUCCAUUAUUUCUCUAUUGUUCAUUUACUGUGUUCAUGAAUGUUUGUUUAUUUCAAGAGUAUUUUUAUCACAUUAUAUUUUUAUUUCUAAUGGUACUGGGUUUGUCAUAUUUCUUUAUAAACAGUAAAUCACAUAUACAUGUAACAAUUUACUUAAGUCAUGCUGUUAUCCAAAUAAAUGAUGUCAUUUCCAUC